UACAGAGGUCCCAAGCGUUACUGAGAAUCACUGGGUUUAAAGGGUGCGUAGGUGGUCCGUUAAGUCAGUUGUGAAAUCCCCGGGCUCAACCCGGGAACUGCUUCUGAUACUGGCGGACUUGAGGCCAGUAGGGGUCACUAGAACUGACGGUGGAGCGGUGAAAUGCGUAGAUAUCAUUUGGAACGCCAAUGGUGAAAACAGGUAGCUGGGGCUGUGCUGACACUGAGACACGAAAGCCAGGGGAGCAAACGGG
rnacentral:rRNA from 1 species